rnacentral:rRNA from 1 species
UACGUAGGGUCCAAGCGUUGUCCGGAGUUACUGGGCGUAAAGCGUGCGCAGGCGGUUCGUCGUGUCCGAUGUGAAAGCCCCGGGCUCAACCUGGGAAUGGCAUUGGAAACUGGCGGGCUUGAGUGUGGCAGAGGGGGGUGGAAUUCCGCGUGUAGCGGUGAAAUGCGCAGAUAUCAGGAAGAACACCUAUGGCGAAGGCAGCUCUCUGGGACGGUACUGACGCUGAGACGCGAAAGCUAGGGGAGCAAACGGG